rnacentral:rRNA from 1 species
GACAUAGGUGGCGAACGUUAUCCGGAAUUAUUGGGCGUAAAGAGCUCGUAGGCGGUCUGUCGCGUCGGAUGUGAAAAUCAGGGCUCAACCCUGGACCUGCAUUCGAUACGGGCAGACUAGAGUUCGGCAGGGGAGACUGGAAUUCCUGGUGUAGCGGUGAAAUGCGCAGAUAUCAGGAGGAACACCGGUGGCGAAGGCGGGUCUCUGGGCCGAUACUGACGCUGAGGAGCGAAAGCGUGGGGAGCGAACAGG